UUUUCAUCAGACAAUCUGUGUGAGCACUGCAAAGUACGCUUCUUUAAGGUAAGGAGGUGAUCCAACCGCAGGUUCCCCUACGGUUACCUUGUUACGACUUCACCCCAGUCAUGAAUCACAAAGUGGUAAGCGCCCUCCCGAAGGUUAAGCUACCUACUUCUUUUGCAACCCACUCCCAUGGUGUGACGGGCGGUGUGUACAAGGCCCGGGAACGUAUUCACCGUGGCAUUCUGAUCCACGAUUACUAGCGAUUCCGACUUCAUGGAGUCGAGUUGCAGACUCCAAUCCGGACUACGACGCACUUUAUGAGGUCCGCUUGCUCUCGCGAGGUCGCUUCUCUUUGUAUGCGCCAUUGUAGCACGUGUGUAGCCCUGGUCGUAAGGGCCAUGAUGACUUGACGUCAUCCCCACCUUCCUCCAGUUUAUCACUGGCAGUCUCCUUUGAGUUCCCGGCCGGACCGCUGGCAACAAAGGAUAAGGGUUGCGCUCGUUGCGGGACUUAACCCAACAUUUCACAACACGAGCUGACGACAGCCAUGCAGCACCUGUCUCACGGUUCCCGAAGGCACAUUCUCAUCUCUGAAAACUUCCGUGGAUGUCAAGACCAGGUAAGGUUCUUCGCGUUGCAUCGAAUUAAACCACAUGCUCCACCGCUUGUGCGGGCCCCCGUCAAUUCAUUUGAGUUUUAACCUUGCGGCCGUACUCCCCAGGCGGUCUACUUAACGCGUUAGCUCCGGAAGCCACGCCUCAAGGGCACAACCUCCAAGUAGACAUCGUUUACGGCGUGGACUACCAGGGUAUCUAAUCCUGUUUGCUCCCCACGCUUUCGCACCUGAGCGUCAGUCUUUGUCCAGGGGGCCGCCUUCGCCACCGGUAUUCCUCCAGAUCUCUACGCAUUUCNNNNNNNNNNNNNNNNNNNNCCCCCCUCUACAAGACUCAAGCCUGCCAGUUUCGAAUGCAGUUCCCAGGUUGAGCCCGGGGAUUUCACAUCCGACUUGACAGACCGCCUGCGUGCGCUUUACGCCCAGUAAUUCCGAUUAACGCUUGCACCCUCCGUAUUACCGCGGCUGCUGGCACGGAGUUAGCCGGUGCUUCUUCUGCGGGUAACGUCAAUUGCUGCGGUUAUUAACCACAACACCUUCCUCCCCGCUGAAAGUACUUUACAACCCGAAGGCCUUCUUCAUACACGCGGCAUGGCUGCAUCAGGCUUGCGCCCAUUGUGCAAUAUUCCCCACUGCUGCCUCCCGUAGGAGUCUGGACCGUGUCUCAGUUCCAGUGUGGCUGGUCAUCCUCUCAGACCAGCUAGGGAUCGUCGCCUUGGUGAGCCGUUACCUCACCAACAAGCUAAUCCCAUCUGGGCACAUCUGAUGGCAAGAGGCCCGAAGGUCCCCCUCUUUGGUCUUGCGACGUUAUGCGGUAUUAGCCACCGUUUCCAGUAGUUAUCCCCCNNNNNNNNNNNNNNNNNNNNCCCGUCCGCCACUCGUCAGCAAAGCAGCAAGCUGCUUCCUGUUACCGUUCGACUUGCAUGUGUUAGGCCUGCCGCCAGCGUUCAAUCUGAGCCAUGAUCAAACUCUUCAAUUUAAAAGUUUGAUGCUCAAUGAAUUAAACUUCGUAAUGAAUUACGUGUUCACUCUUGAGACUUGGUAUUCAUUUUUCGUC
rnacentral:rRNA from 1 species